rnacentral:rRNA from 1 species
AUUGAACGCUGGCGGUUGGCUUAACACAUGCAAGUCGAGCGGUAGCACAGGAGAGCUUGCUCUCUGGGUGACGAGCGGCGGACGGGUGAGUAAUGUCUGGGAAACUGCCUGAUGGAGGGGGAUAACUACUGGAAACGGUAGCUAAUACCGCAUAACGUCGCAAGACCAAAGAGGGGGACCUUCGGGCCUCUUGCCAUCAGAUGUGCCCAGGUGGGAUUAGCUAGUAGGUGGGGUAAUGGCUCACCUAGGCGACGAUCCCUAGCUGGUCUGAGAGGAUGACCAGCCACACUGGAACUGAGACACGGUCCAGACUCCUACGGGAGGCAGCAGUGGGGAAUAUUGCACAAUGGGCGCAAGCCUGAUGCAGCCAUGCCGCGUGUGUGAAGAAGGCCUUCGGGUUGUAAAGCACUUUCAGCGAGGAGGAAGGUGGUGAACUUAAUACGUUCAUCAAUUGACGUUACUCGCAGAAAAAGCACCGGCUAACUCCGUGCCAGCAGCCGCGGUAAUACGGAGGGUGCAAGCGUUAAUCGGAAUUACUGGGGCGUAAAGCGCACGCAGGCGGUUUGUUAAGUCAGAUGUGAAAUCCCCGGGCUCAACCUGGGAACUGCAUUUGAAACUGGCAAGCUAGAGUCUCGUAGAGGGGGGUAGAAUUCCAGGUGUAGCGGUGAAAUGCGUAGAGAUCUGGAGGAAUACCGGUGGCGAAGGCGGCCCCCUGGACGAAGACUGACGCUCAGGUGCGAAAGCGUGGGGAGCAAACAGGAUUAGAUACCCUGGUAGUCCACGCUGUAAACGAUGUCGAUUUGGAGGUUGUGCCCUUGAGGCGUGGCUUCCGGAGCUAACGCGUUAAAUCGACCGCCUGGGGAGUACGGCCGCAAGGUUAAAACUCAAAUGAAUUGACGGGGGCCCGCACAAGCGGUGGAGCAUGUGGUUUAAUUCGAUGCAACGCGAAGAACCUUACCUACUCCUGACAUCCAGAGAACUUUCCAGAGAUGGAUUGGUGCCUUCGGGAACUCUGAGACAGGUGCUGCAUGGCUGUCGUCAGUUCGUGUUGUGAAAUGUUGGGUUAAGUCCCGCAACGAGCGCAACCCUUAUCCUUUGUUGCCAGCGGUUCGGCCGGGAACUCAAAGGAGACUGCCAGUGAUAAACUGGAGGAAGGUGGGGAUGACGUCAAGUCAUCAUGGCCCUUGCGAGUAGGGCUACACACGUGCUACAAUGGCAUAUACAAAGAGAAGCGACCUCGCGAGAGCAAGCGGACCUCAUAAAGUAUGUCGUAGUCCGGAUUGGAGUCUGCAACUCGACUCCAUGAAGUCGGAAUCGCUAGUAAUCGUAGAUCAGAAUGCUACGGUGAAUACGUUCCCGGGCCU